rnacentral:lncRNA from 1 species
ACCAGUCAGAACUGAAGGCAAGAGCAACAGACCAACACUGAGAGUGAUUGAGAGAAGAGCCACAUGUGGAAAAGAUGGAAAGAAUUGUGACACAAUCCAGUGGUUCUCAAACGUGAGUAUCUAUCAGAAACCCAUGAAGGCCUUGUUUUAAACACAGAUCUAUCCCCUGUCUUGCCCUGCUGAGUUUCUGAUUAGGUAAGGGUAAAGGCCAAGAUUUGCAU